AGUAGUGUAUAAAUAGAAUCACAACAGUUUAUAUGUUAUAGUUACUGCAAAAUGUUGAUAUUAAAUAUUUUAUUGGUAACAGUUUGUUACGUUUUCAUAACCGAGGCAAGAAGUAGUGAUACUUGGACCACACAGACCAGUCCCAAGACAGUCUUUCACUUCAUUAAAGAAAAGG
rnacentral:lncRNA from 1 species